AAAGUUGAAAAGAACUUUGAAGAGAGAGUUCAAGAGUACGUGAAACCGUUCAGGGGUAAACCUGAGAAACCCAAAAGAUCGAAUGGGGAGAUUCAUCGUCAGCUCAUUUUGUAUAUAUAUAAGUUAUGAUGCGGGUUACUACUUGUAGUAUUGCUUGCACAUUCUUGUAUAUUUAGUUGCAAGAUGUUGUCGGCGUGCACUUCUCCCCUAGUAGAACGUCGCGACCUGUUGGGUGUCGGUCUACGGCCCAAGUGAUAGACUUUAAUGUAAUUUAAAAAGCAUUAAAGAUCCUUGGUGUUUUCUGACCGACUACUUGGCAGUAUUCGUACGGUAUUUAGC
rnacentral:rRNA from 1 species